rnacentral:tRNA from 1 species
GCCCCCAUCGUCUAGAGGACCAGGACGCGGCCCUUUCAAGGCCUAAACCGGGGUUCGAAUCCCCGUGGGGGCACCU